rnacentral:rRNA from 1 species
AUUGAACGCUGGCGGCAUGCUUUACACAUGCAAGUCGAACGGUAACAGGCCGCAAGGUGCUGACGAGUGGCGAACGGGUGAGUAAUGCAUCGGAACGUGCCCAGCCGUGGGGGAUAACUACUCGAAAGAGUAGCUAAUACCGCAUACGAUCUAUGGAUGAAAGCGGGGGACCGUAAGGCCUCGCGCGAUUGGAGCGGCCGAUGUCAGAUUAGGUAGUUGGUGGGGUAAAGGCUCACCAAGCCAACGAUCUGUAGCUGGUCUGAGAGGACGACCAGCCACACUGGAACUGAGACACGGCCCAGACUCCUACGGGAGGCAGCAGUGGGGAAUUUUAGGCAAUGGGCGCAAGCCUGAUCCAGCAAUGCCGCGUGCAGGAAGAAGGCCUUCGGGUUGUAAACUGCUUUUGUACGGAACGAAACGGCUCUGGUUAAUACCCGGGGCUAAUGACGGUACCGUAAGAAUAAGCACCGGCUAACUACGUG